rnacentral:rRNA from 1 species
UACGUAGGGCGCGAGCGUUGUCCGGAAUCAUUGGGCGUAAAGAGCUCGUAGGCGGCCUGUCGCGUCUGCUGUGAAAUCCCGGGGCUUAACCCCGGGCGUGCAGUGGAUACGGGCUGGCUGGAGGCAGGCAGGGGAGAACGGAAUUCCCGGUGUAGCGGUGAAAUGCGCAGAUAUCGGGAGGAACACCGGUGGCGAAGGCGGUUCUCUGGAACGCAACUGACGCUGAGACGCGAAAGCGUGGGGAGCAAACAGG